CUCAGAAAAACAACUCUGAGUGCUACACUAAAAGUAAACUGACUGCGGUCGUGCUGAUUGUUUGAUUAAAAAACACUACAAAACAAAACGAUAACAAUUAUGCUCGACAUACCUAACGGAGAAAUGAUGGAGGGGAAAAAGUGCUGGUAGAAGAUCGGGUCGUGAGGAGACGAUUGUUGACAAAAGCUAACCGGAACUAAACAUUACACUAGCUAUGCAGUCACAGCGUGACCCUGAAUAUUGUCCACCUGCUGUGAUAAUGAGACUAAACUGCAUAAAAGCAACCAGAACUUUCUGGGGAGGCAUACCAAAUGAGGGUCAACAGCAGUUGGUAAGUGAAUUUAAAGGGAUUUCAGUUUGCAAAAUACUAUGUUCAUCAGCCUGGGUUCGAGUCUCAAGUCCAGCAGGGAUUGUAGGUGGGGGGAGUGAAUGACCAGCGCUCUCUUCCAACCUCAAUACCACAACUGAGGUGAGACCCUUGAGCAAGGUACCAAACCCCCAACUGCUCCCCGGCCGCCGCAGCAAAAAAGGCUGCCCACUGCUCCGAGUGUGUGUUCACGGUGUGUGUACGUUCACUACUGUGUGUGUGCACUUGGAUGGGUUAAAUGCAGAGCACAAAUUUCGAGUAUGGGUCGCCAAACUUGGCCACACGUCACUUCACUUCACUUCACUUUAUGUGUCUUUGCCUGAGUGUUAGCCGAACAAUGCUCUGGAUGUUAGAAAGUGCCCAGACGAGACAUUGGCAGCUGUGUAUAACACUACACUGACACAGUCAGACCUGUGCUGUCUGGGAUGGGAAGACAAAGAAUUGUAACUGCCAAAAUUCUGAAUAUAGAAAUUAAUGUAGCAUAUUGUUUAUAGUGACAGUCAAUGUUUUGUUUAAACACAGGUUCUCAGCUGUUGCCUUAAAGUUGUGGAGACCAUUUCACAGGUGAAAUAUUCUGCAUUUUGUGCUCAAAUUACUUAAGCUGCUUCUUAGCUGAAAAUUUCUUACUUAAGUGUUCACAGUGUUCAGUGUUAAUUCUCUCAGAGUAAGCUGUUGUUGUAUUUACUAUUUAAAACUCUCAAUUUUGCCCAAGGUGAGAUAAGUAUGCUCAAUUUUCCAUACAGAAUGUGAAUGUUUUUUUGGCCAGUUCAUACCAUAUCGCAACACGGCCACAGAGGACACUUCAAGAGACUCUGUCACACUCGCCUGUAUGUAUUAUAGUCAGUUUCUUUUAACAUACGAGACCCAGUCACACAGUUUCCAAACUUUGGUGAGGACCAGUAUUAUUUGGUUUCAAGCUGGACACAAACAUUUACUGGUUUAUCUUCUCAAACCAGUAAAUACCAUACCAUGACACUGGAUGGUUUGUGUAAGUCAUUCUGAAACUUUUGUGUUUACCUGGGAUAACUUUUGUCUGCAUAAUUUUUAAGCACAUUGUUCUCUGAGCUAUAAACUGUAGUUGUCAUCUUUCGUUGUAUGUAUUAUAACAUACUCAACAGAUUAUGAAGCCAAGGGAACAUGAAUUUUUUCCUUGAUCCUCUGUAUGGAAUUACAUUUAGUCAAGAAGAAUACGUGCACAUCUACAGGUUUUAUAGUGCACUGUUGGAAGUUCAGAGAUUGUGGUCGUUCCUAACCACGUUUUGACAAGACUGUGGUUGUUCUUAACCACAUGUAGGUUUAACCAUAUGUGACUGUCCAUCUGACGUUGAUUUUUAGUGUCUUAUUUAAAGGGUUUUGGAGUCAAACUAAUUUUAAGGUUUUUUGGAUGACAAAAGUUUUUUGUCAAUUGUCAAUGAAAACAAUUGUGUAAUACUCAUGGGUUCUGUUUCAGCCCCCCAUUUCACUUCUCAUGUGUCUUCUUUGGUGCAGUACAGUAACAGUUUUUAAGUAAUGGUCUCUGCUUUGGCUUUGUCUUCACAGAAACAUUGUACAAAUCCUGUCUCCUGGGCCUUUGCAUGAAUACUGUGUCAACAAUAUUAUGGUACCAUUGUUCAUUUGAAUAAAUAACUGUAAAAGCAUUGGUAAUUGUUUGACAUUUACAAGGUAGUUUGUGAAUGGAAACUUCAACAGGGCCUUCCUCGACAACAUCUCAGCAACAGCUGUGGUGUCUUUGUCCUUAUGCUAAGUUUAUAGAGCUGGUGUGUUGCAUACUACUUGAUUUUUAACUAAUAAAUGUAUCUGUGCAAAUGUGUUUGUUUACUAUUUCAGUAUUCACUGUGCCUUGUGACAUCAGGGGCCUUUGAUUUUACAGAGGUCUGAUGAAGAAACACGGGUGAGAACGAGACAGAUGAAGUGUACUGAAGUGAAUGCACAAAAGCCACACAUGACUCACUUGCACCUUUGGAUUACUUUCCAGUUACCCUUGGAGGUCUUGCAGAUGAUACUCCUUGAAGUAGUCCUACAGGAUGGAGACGCAGCCUACAUGACUCUGUCUCUCACAUUUAGAUGGUUUAGGGCACUCGUGCACACAACCCAGUUCAGACAGAAGGCACAGGAUAAGAUAGUAAGUGUCUUAAUGUUUGAAUGUGUGAAAUGAAGUAUGUACAUGGUCUCCUGGGUAGAAAGGUUAGCUGUUUUGUGUAAUCUUCCUUCUUGCAGCUUGCAAAGUAAUAUCAUGGCUAACAUAUUACCUUUUGAGUUAACAAUUCUGUUGUUGUUUUGUGUGUGUGUAUGUUUGGCUACAGGUGUUGUGAACUGGGAAAAGUGGAAUGAAAUAUCCAAGGCUCCUUUGCAGGUUCCUUGUGAUAUCAAAGAGUGCAACACAUGAAAAAUAUUAUUCAAGUCCUGUUUUGGGUAUUAUAGUAAUGGGAGGUGCGGUUGCCUGAGAGGAUUUUAUGAUAGUACAGGGGACCCGGAGUGUUGUUUUAUGUGCCAAUGCUAGAGUGUCAGUGGAAGGUAGGACAAGGGGGGUGUCAGGGGUAGUUUUGAUACUUUUUUUUUCCUUCUACAAAUGUCACCACUUUCCACCUUAGUUCAAAUGUUUAGUGGUUUGAAUUUCGAAUACAAUAUAUCAGUAUGCUAUCUCAUUUACUUGUAUGACAUGGGAGAUAUUUGGAUGAUAAAGUUUGAUUUGAUAUUGGCUGCUGGUUUUAAAGUGAAAUGGAGUAAUUUACAUUUUUUUAAAUAUAAUUUACAGUAGUAGAAGGUGCUGUUAUGUAAAUAGUAACAAUGCAAUAAUUAUGUUGGAAUGUCUUGGAAUGUUGUUGGUAUAAAAAUUCUACUGAUAUUGUUACCAAAUGAUACAGAUACACUGUUACCAUUUCCCCUUUCAUUAUCAAGUUAAUUCAUAACGUCUCUUAAGACUUGACACUCUUGCUAAAAAUAAUCAACUUUUAUUUAAAUUAGGGCUGGGCCUAAUUUAAGUCCUUUAAGUCCUAAGUCCAUUGCUCACUGGCUCUGAAUACACAAACAAUGGGUCACAAGAGGGGUGGGAUGUUGAUCAGUAUUGGCUUCUCAACCAAUGAGCGCAUUUGGGGUGGGCCUAAGACUGCUGAAGCGUGCACAUGAACCAGGAAAACCAGAACAGAAAAAUGGAGAAAGGUACCGAACUUUUACAUGGACAUUUUCAGUUUUCUAAUAUUGUACAGAAGAAGAGAGUUUCUUUAUCAUCUGAAAUUGACCUUGUGUUGUCUUAGCAACUGGCUUGGUGCAGAGGAGUAAGUAAAUGUAAAGUCCGAGGAAUGGAUAAAUUUUGUCAAUGUGUAACUAGAACUACUCAACCUGCAUCACUGCAAUUGUUUUUUUUUUGUUUUGUUUUGUUUUUUUUGACUGAGAUUCUCCAAAGGAAAUCCAGUACAAACAUGGACUUCACAGACUAAAAAGUCUUCUGCACAGUAAAACUUUUGUUUGUGCUUGGCAACUUUACCUCAUUCAGGGACACUUGCUACUGAGCAUAGACUGUUUAUGCUGCUCCCUGAUAAAAGAAAAAUGUUUCUGCUGGUACAUGUUCAGAACAUGUUCACUUAUAAAUGUUAACUUGCUGUUGCUCUGAAGGUGUUAUAAUGUUAUGAUCAUGGCUCUGGGCUCUGAGCAUAAUUUGUUUUUCUAUAACAAACUAGACUAAACGUUAAUGCCCUGGCAGUGGCAGAUAGCUUUGGUUUUAUAUUUAACUUGAUUACAUUAAUGUUUAAGUUGAGAUUUACAAGAAAUAUUUUAAAUACAAUUUUUUAACUGCUACUAUGUAAAGGGAAUACUGCUGUAAAAAGCACCUUAUCUGUUUAAAGUGUUUGCAAACCAAAUGUUAUUGCACUUUUGUUCAUAUAGCAGUACUUUUAAAAUAAAAGUGCACAAUACACUACUUUUGAAUUCAUUAUUUAAUUUUACGCUUAUCAGUGUGAUUAAUCGUGAUUAAUCGCAGAAAAAUUGUGCGAUUAAUUGCGAUUAAAUUUUUUAAUCGUUUCCCAGAACUAAUUUAAAUAUAAAAAAUCUGUUUGUGUGUUAUUCUAAAGCAAAUACUAUAAGAAUUUGUACAUCAACAAUAUAUGUUGACAUUGUUGUUGAUUUAUAGUUCUUAAUGCCCAUGUGACAUAUGAUAUGAAAUACAAAGCUAAGUCAAAAUCAGCCAAGUAAAGCAGUAAAUGGAUUCUUGCUUCUUGAAACAUUUUUUCAGAAAUAAUAAAUGAAUUGACAAUGUAUUAAUGUCUGUGUUGUAGCAUAUUAAAAAACAAUAAUAUCAAACACAACUUAAUAUACAUAUGAGUCGUAAGCAUUACCAACUGCAUUUUCUGUGAUAGUACCGAGGCGUUGACAUUAUUACUUUGCCACUAACCAUUGAGACCUGUUACGGGCGGACCGACACAUGUAGCCCUGCAAAAGUGCAGCCCCACCCCAUUCUGCAGGCUGAUAGGUGGGAAUUGGGGUGGGCUGAAGGAGUAAAAAAAAAAAUCAUUAAAAACACCUAUUUAACUAGUAGAUACCUAAUUUUCACAAAUCUUACCUAAUGCACCUUUAAGUAUUUUCCACCCCUGAGCACAACACCAGACUAGCCUGAGUCUGCAUUAGUUUUCAAAAUUUUGUCAGCUAUCUUCAUCAUAGGCAGGCUCUUCACAACCUGUACAGGACCAAUAUUUUCUAUACGUGCCUAAAAGAUCACAAAAAAUAUAAAGUGUGUGAAACACUACAGUCCAUUACAUGUAUAGCAUCAAGUUCAAAAGCACUAGAACCACAUUUAAGUCUUUUCUACAAUAUUUAUUUUUCAGCUUCUUGUAUAUUUCACAGUAUCUGUGGCACCUGCAAUGACAAACAUAAUAAUCAAUGAUAUCACAUUACUUUACAAUAAAUUAGAUUACAUACAGACAAAUCAAUGUCUCAGCCAAAUAAAGGUGUAGUAACUUCUAGACAGAUCAAUAUGUAGUAAAACAAUCAAUCUUUAUUGCAGCAAUGACUGUAAUAACAGAAUGAAGACCUCAACAUUUUAUUAACACUGCUCUGAAUUAAAUGCAGCUCCUUGUCAGUUAAAUCUGUCUGUCACACUAGGACAGACAACUACUGGACAAAUCCUCACUUUGUUCAGAAUGCUACAACCUUUAUUCCUUUCAGAUAGCUGCUCACUAAUUAAA